AUUGAACGCUGGCGGCAUGCCUUACACAUGCAAGUCGAACGGUAACGCGGGGCAACCUGGCGACGAGUGGCGAACGGGUGAGUAAUGCAUCGGAACGUGCCCAAUAGUGGGGGAUAGCCCGGCGAAAGCCGGAUUAAUACCGCAUACGACCUACGGGUGAAAGGGGGGAUCGCAAGACCUCUCGCUAUUGGAGCGGCCGAUGUCAGAUUAGCUAGUUGGUGGGUAAAGCCUACCAAGGCGACGAUCUGUAGCUGGUCUGAGAGGACGACCAGCCACACUGGGACUGAGACACGGCCCAGACUCCUACGGGAGGCAGCAGUGGGGAAUUUUGGACAAUGGACGAAAGUCUGAUCCAGCCAUGCCGCGUGCGGGAAGAAGGCCUUGG
rnacentral:rRNA from 1 species